GAUUGGAGCAUGAGGCAAAACAAAACCUCUUGAAGCUUCCAGCUGGCUGAGCUGCGUAUCUGUACAGCAAUGUUACAUGUGUUUUAAAACAUGAUUAACAAGGCAGUUGCCAAGCUUUUCUUAUGGUUUGUUUAAUGAGCUUCUGAAUGGUGGAAAUAAUCAGAAAAGUUCUCAAUUCAUGCCUAUCCUUAAGGACAAACACCAACAUUUUUUCCUUUUUUUUUUUCUCAGACCGCUGAGCCCAGUGAUCCAGUCUUAUGCUUGGAGGGACUGUGACAGGUGUAUAUGCCCAGAAGGAAACACAGGAGGAGAAAGUCUACAGACUGGAACAGCAAGGACAGUGGGCAAAUUGUGGAAAUGCUUCACUCCUAGAAGGUUGCUGAGUACAAAUGAAGUCACAGAGUUGCUGACAGAUGGAUUUCCUAUCACUCAUCUGAGCUGAAGAGACACUGAAUCAACAUUUCAGGGCUACUGUGCUGCA
rnacentral:lncRNA from 1 species